GAAAGUGCUAUAAAUUGAAUGACACAGUUACAGAAGACUUAGACCUAAAUGAUGAGACCCUGGAGUGUGAAUGCUUUGGCGAAGAAAAUAGAGCACAAGUUUAUGAUCAAGUAAAGCAAACACACACACUUGUGUAUGCCGAAGAUACUGAAUACCCGCGUGCUCUUCCACCGGAAGGGGUCUGAUGAGAACUCCCUGGGAUCACCAAAGAAGACUUGAGUCAGCACUGUCCAGCAGGAGGCUGAGGACUUCGAGAGUGUCCCACUGUGGCCUCCACGCUGCUUGGUCAGGAGCACUCUGGGUGACCCCUUGCUGCCCGCCUGCUCUGCGCCUUCUGCCAACUCCAGGCAACAGCAUCCUAUGCUUUCUCCAGUGCUCAACUGACCUGCCCGGGCUUCUCAGCACCUGCGUGGUCACUGGAACUGCUCCUGCACAGGGCCUGGAAAGGACUUACCACCAAGUGGCCAACCCAGGAGGCAAUGAACAUGUGACUGGAUCUCAUCUUGGACAAUCAUUCCCUAAAAGAAAUUUUGUAAGGAGUCAGAAACCUCUCCCACUUAAAAGCAGAUGUCCAGAAUCCAAACUUUGUAUCUGUCUCAGGAAACGAGGUUUUCUAUGUGAGAGAACAUUUUGGCCAAUGUGGCAGUAUCACCAAUGUGAUAACAUAGAUGGAAUGGCUUUUUCCCAUUCUAAGUAAAUGGUGACUUUAGAGGUUUUUUAAAAAAUAUUUUAUUGUUGUAAAAUACUCAUAAAAUUUACCAUCUUAGGCAUUUUUAAGUACACAAUACAGUCGUGUUAAGUAUAUACACAUUGCAUGAAACCUGUCUCCAGAACGUCUUCACGCACAUGAAACAACUCUGCAUUUCCCCAUCCCUUCAGCCCCUGGCAGCCCCCAUCUUAACUUUUGUUUCUGUGAAUGACUCUAGAUACUUCAUAUAAUAUCAUUUACUUUAAAAGUUCCAAAAGUAUGCCCAGGAUGGAGGAAUUAGCCACCCCAGGAUUUAGUGAGCACCUAAACACCAACUUUAAAGUCUGUGCUCUUCUCCACCUUAUGUUCAUUCAUUCAUUCUGGACACCAUGUGCUGCGGGGUGCGUUUGAGUGUCUGGGAGACAGUGUUGAAUGUUUUUCUAUUGGAUUGGUUGUCUGUUUAUUAGUUUGUUGAAGUUCUUUAUUGAGAAUCGUCUGUGCUACAAAUAUAUUUUCUGUGUGGCUUGCCUUGUUAAGUCUCUUAAUGCUGUGUUUUUGACACCGAAACUUUAAAUGUGGUCAGAUAUAUUAGUCUUUCCCUUUAUGGUUAUUGCUUCUUCACUGCCACUUAUGGCAUCUUUUCCUAAUUUGAUGUCCUGAAGGUAUUUUUCUGUCAUCUUCUAGAUCAGUGCCAUCCAAUAAAAAUAUGAAAUGUGACAUGUAUUGUCUAUCUAGACUAAAUACUGUCUAUCUAGACUCAAUAUCAUCUAGUAUCCACAUCAAGAGAGAAAAAGGAACCUGAUAAAGCUAAUUUUAAUAUUUUAUUUAGCUCAGUAUAUCCAAAGUAUCAUUUCAAAGUUUCAAUAUAAAAAUGGAACCAUUUGACAUUGUUUUUCCUACUGUUUAUAAUUCCAGUGCAAGUUCUACACUUAAUAGCACACCUCAAGUGUUCAGUAGCCAUGAAUGGGCAGAGCAAUCGUGGAAUAUAUAUUGCUUUUGCCCUUCCACAUUUAGACCUGUGUUCCACCUAACAUUGAUUUUCAAGUGUAGUGUGAGGUCGGAAUCCAGCUUGAUUGUUUUUUCCAAAUGAGUAUCCAAUUGACUCAGCACCAAUUUAUUGAAAAGACAGUCCUGUCCUCACUGUUCUGCUCUGCUGCUGUAGUCUUAAAGUGCCCGCAUAUGUGGGAGUCUCCUUCUGCUCUCUAUUUUGUGUCAUUUGUCUACUUGCCUGUGCUUUCCCCACUCUGACACUAUCUUAAUUACUAUAAUUUUCCUGAUGAGUUCUGAUAUCUGGUGGGAAGAAUGUCUUAGAAGAGUGUUGGCUAACCUUGGUUUUUUGCAUUUCCAUGUAAAUUUUAACUGUCAAGUACUCAAAAAUACAGUGGGACUGUGAUUGAGAUUCUGUUGAAUCUAGAUAACCAUUGGAGGAGAGCCCUUUUUUAAGCAUCAUCGGUUCAUGUGCUGCAGGCAUCUGGGUGGGAUCUGGACAUCCUCUUGCCUUCCAGACUCUGCUCUCCUCCCCAUUGUGAGGUAGAAGUAGCUGAUGAGAGAGGCUCAGGCCUCAGCGCUGUGCUGAGAGCACAGUGGAGGGCCCGCCCCUACUGCCAAAACACUUCCCAAGGACAGAAAGUCCCUGCCAUGGUUCUGGAAUCCUAGGGUGAAUACAAAUGAAUUCUGGGAUAAACAAGACUCGAAAAACAUGAACAAAACCAAAACUGAGUCUCCAUCUAUCUACAGCAGGGGCCUUGUGCUCUGUGAGCUCUCAGGGGUCAUGGCUCUUACACUCACUGAACCUAGGGCAGGACUUACCCUCCUUGAGAACAGAUGAGGUGCUUCCCACUCCUCACUUCCCUCUACCUUCUCUGUCACUGGCUCUGUGGUUUGCUCUGUGGCUACAGACUGAUUUCCAUUGAGAAGCCAGGAACAAAUGUAGAAGCUCAGGCAGGCUGGCUGAUCAGGCAGGGGAGGAAAGGCCCAUACUAUUUAGAGAAAGAAAAUUGUUAAAGGUGUCUCUGGUCUCUGAAGAGGAUUGAGAAGAUGGGAAUGAAGGCAAAAUAUGGAUAGCAGUAAGGUGACCAGGCCCUGGCUGUGGAAAGGGCUCCUGUGACUUACUCAGGCUAAAUGCUGGUUUGCCAUCACCUUGCAUUUCCUUUGUCCACCAGGUCAGGCUGCUGGGAAUCCGCGGUUUUGGCCAUCCUGAACUGCACCAGAGCUGCCCCAGGAGCAGGAAAAACAUCUCCAAGAUGAGAUUUGUGGACUGUCAGGUCUGGUUGGGGGUGGCAGGGUUGGGGGCUGGGGACUAGAAAGAAGCAAGGCUAGGAGGGAGGAGUAGGGGGAUAGUCACAGGAAAGAGUUCUGGGACCACGGCACUGGGAAGCAGGGCUAGAAGGAGGAGUAGGGGAAUAGACAAAGGAGUCACGGGAAGGAGUUCUGGGACUACAGCGUUGGGAAUCAGCGCUAGGAAGAGGAGUAGGGGAAUAGAUAUGGGAGUGAUAGGAAAGAAUUCUGGACCACAGAAUUGCGAAAUGGAUGGUCUGUCAUGAAUAGCAGGACAGGGCUGGAAGAGUUUUAGGUUAGGAUAGCAGGGAGGGUGGGCAUGAGCCACAGUGGAGUGGCAGCCAGGGUGGAAAACAGAAGAAUCUACAUUAUUCUGGAGCGGAGGAAGAGGACUGGCAGGUUGAGGAGAAAGAGGCCUGGCAGGUUGAGGAAAAAGACGGGGUAAGUGGGUUGGCUUAUGAGAGUGGGUUGGAUUAGGAGGGCGGGGUGUAUUAGGAGGAUGUGGGAUCGUAAAACGAGUUAGUGAGCGGGAUGGAAAUUUAGAAAUCGGAGGGAGCUUUCUUGUCAUUUCUUCAGUGAGGAUUCUAGUUAAUCACUUGUCCCAGUGAGUCCAAAUGAGUAACUGGGGUGUGCCCAGAGCUACUCCAGCAUUUAUCUCACGCCCACCCCUCACAUCACACCGUGUCAGAAUGCCCAGUAUGAUUCCUAUGUACCCCGCCCUUUUGGUCUAGGGAGAGCGCCCCACCAACCAGGGAAAGGGGCCCAGUCUCUAGGUUUAAAAGUGAUCAUGGCAAAUAGCAAAGAGAAGAAAUGGGGGCUGUAAUAUUAAUCCCCGUUCUGGGGGUACCAUGUAGUUAUGCCCCUCAGUAGGCAAAGUUUGGUCAAAGGGCCAAGAUGGAGUUAGGGGCUUGGGGCCUAGGAGAGUGGUUCUGAAGCAGGACUUGGGAAAAUGGGAGUCAGUGCCCCAGUCUUUCACUUACUACAUUUUUCAAAGCACUUCCACAUCAUUUAUAUCGCUGCAUGAAUACCUGUGAUUAGAGGAGAGAUGCUGUAUUCACUGGAUAAAUGAGGAUACUGAAGACCAGAGAGGAAGCUGCCAGAGGCAGUGGGUGACAAAGCAAGUGGGACUAGAACUUGGGCCAAUGGAGGGGCAGGUGGGAGGGAGCACAGAAUAGCCCAGAGUGCUGACCAGCGGCCUCACCUCCUACUGUCUCUCUGGACAGAGUCCUGCAGGGGGCGCUUCAGAGCACAACUUUACUUUCUGUAGUAACCUCUCAGUCCCUGUGCCCUGUAGUUUUAUGCUUUUUUUUUUUUUUUNNNNNNNNNNNNNNNNNNNNNNNNNGAUUGGGGGCGCGUUGGGGUGUGGGGGG
ensembl:lincRNA